AAACAUCCUUUUGUGUGUAAGUGUGCAUUAGUACAUGCUAACGAUAUUCAAAAAGUACAUACCUCAAAGAAAACGAUGACGCGAGUUAUCGUCUCUAACGUUCGAGGACUACAAAAAACACUCGGAUUGUAGGCAACAGUUUACUUCCUGGGAUUAGUGACGUAGAUAAGACCAACAUUAUCAUAGUUCAGCCCUCUCUGCUUUGCUUGGGUACGCCCUCAAAGACGGGGGUGGGGAGCGCCGAGUCAGAAGAGAGCUAAAAUGGCGGAGGUUGUGAGUCCCUGCUUUGACUCUGUUUGCAAACUCUUGUUUCAUUGUUUAAGCGAUUAAAUCUCUCGAGUAGACGCUGUCUCUUUAGAUGCGAGGGAAAAAUAGCACUUUAUGGACUUCCACAGAGGACAUCAUGUUUAAUACGGUUCCGGAAAAAUCCAGUCAGAAGUUGUUCACGGAGUUUUCACAAUAACUGCUUCUCAUGAACCGAAGCUGGAUUUGCACGACGUCUCCUCUUGAAAGUUGGAUUACUGUGCACUUCUGGAUCACAGGCUAUUCGCAGCUGGACACAUCCUUCUACACUGUAUGCAAACAUGCAACAUCAUAACACACAGUACAAGGAGUCAGACUGGCAUAUGAGGAGCAAAGGAACCCAGGCAGUAGCAUCGUUUCACAAUGUUUCCAUCACCAUCAUCAGUGGAUGCCUUUGCCGUCCGUAGCCUGAGAUUUCAGAUUUGCAG